rnacentral:rRNA from 1 species
CGCUGGCGGCAGGCCUAACACAUGCAAGUCGAGCGGAUGAAGGGAGCUUGCUCCCUGAUUUAGCGGCGGACGGGUGAGUAAUGCCUAGGAAUCUGCCUGGUAGUGGGGGAUAACGUUCCGAAAGGAACGCUAAUACCGCAUACGUCCUACGGGAGAAAGCAGGGGACCUUCGGGCCUUGCGCUAUCAGAUGAGCCUAGGUCGGAUUAGCUAGUUGGUGAGGUAAUGGCUCACCAAGGCGACGAUCCGUAACUGGUCUGAGAGGAUGAUCAGUCACACUGGAACUGAGACACGGUCCAGACUCCUACGGGAGGCAGCAGUGGGGAAUAUUGGACAAUGGGCGAAAGCCUGAUCCAGCCAUGCCGCGUGUGUGAAGAAGGUCUUCGGAUUGUAAAGCACUUUAAGUUGGGAGGAAGGGCAUUAACCUAAUACGUUAGUGUUUUGACGUUACCGACAGAAUAAGCACCGGCUAACUUCGUGCCAGCAGCCGCGGUAAUACGAAGGGUGCAAGCGUUAAUCGGAAUUACUGGGCGUAAAGCGCGCGUAGGUGGUUCGUUAAGUUGGAUGUGAAAGCCCCGGGCUCAACCUGGGAACUGCAUCCAAAACUGGCGAGCUAGAGUACGGUAGAGGGUGGUGGAAUUUCCUGUGUAGCGGUGAAAUGCGUAGAUAUAGGAAGGAACACCAGUGGCGAAGGCGACCACCUGGACUGAUACUGACACUGAGGUGCGAAAGCGU